AUAGAAACCCUGACUGAGACACCCCUUGAUCUCUUUUUGUUGUCUUAUUGCUCUAGCUAGCACUUCAAAUACUAUAUUGAAGAUAUAUGGGGAGAGUGGGCCGCCUGUCUUGUCCCCGAUAUUCGUGGGAUUGCUUCAGAUAUCUCUCCAUUUAAUUUGAUAUUGGCUGUUGUUUUGCUGUAUAUUGCUUUUAUUAUGUUUAGGUAUGGGUCUUGAAUUCCUGAUCUCUCCAAUACUUUUAACAUGAAGGGGUGUUGUAUUUUGUCAAACGCUUUUUCUGCAUCUAAGGAGAUGAUCAUAUGAUUUUUUUCCUUUGAGUUUAUAUAGUGGAUUAUGUUAAUGGAUUUUCGCAAUUGAAACAACCUUGUAUCCCUGAGAUGAAGCCUGCUUGAUUCUGGUGAAUGAUGGUUUUGAUGUGGUCUUGGAUUUGGUUUGCAAGAAUUUUAUUGAGUAUGUUUGCAUUGAUAUUCAUAAGGGAAAUUGGUCUGAAGUUCUCCUUUUUGAUUGGGUCGUUGUGUGGUUUAGGUAUCAGAGUAAUUGUGGCUUCGUGGAAUGAGUUAGAUAGUUUUCCUUCUGUUUCUAUUUUAUGGAAUAGUUUGAGGAAUAUUGUUAUCAGGUCUUCUUUGAAGGUCUGGUAGAAUUUUGAACUAAAUCCAUCUGGCCCGGGGCUUUUUUUGGUUGGGAGGUUUUUAAUGACUUCUUGUGCUCCCUUAUGGGAUAUGACUCUGUUUAGAUAGUUUACCUGCUCUUGAUUUAACUUCGGCAUCUGUCUAGAAAACCAUCCAUUUCGUCAGCUUUUCCAGCUUUGUUGAGAAUAGGCUUUUGUAGUAGGAUCUGAUGAUUUUUUCAAUUUCUUCAGUUUUUGUUGUUAUGUCUCUCAUUUCUGAUUUUGUUAAUUUAGAUACUGCCUAUGUGCUCUUUAGUUAGUUUGGCUAGAGGUUUAUCUAUCUUGUUGAUUCUCUCAAAGAACAGCCUUUUGGUUUUAUUGAUUCUUUGUAUUUGAUUGAUUUCAGCCCAGAGUUUGACUAUUUCCUGCCUUGUACUCCUCUUAGGUAUGUUUGCUGCCUUUUGUUCUAGAGCUCUCAGGUGUGCUGUUAAAUUGCUAGUGUAAGACCUCCCAGUUUCUUUACCAGGGCCCUUAGUGCUGUGAACUUUUCUCUGGCAUCGCUUUCAUUCUUCAUAGUUGUGAGAUCCUGCCCCUCCCCAAACGUUCAAAAGAAAAAGGAAAACCCUGAAGCACACAGCUACAAAGGGUUACUUUAUAGCAUAUAAACCAUUCCAAACUUUUAAAGAUCUUAUGUGCGACAUACAAAUACGUUUCGAUUGCUUUUAACUUGGUUGCUUUGCCUCUCCUGGUUAGGUGAACUUUAAUUCCCGUAAUUCCUGCUCAAUUUCUGAUUCAUCUUGUACAUUCAGUUUCCUCUUCCUGAACCAGCAGGACAUCCUUUGAGAAUCUUAUCCUCUGUUUCCAUUUGUCAAACCAUUUCGCAAUUGUAGUGUUGCUCUCCUCAAGAUACUCUGUUGGGCCUGUCAUCAAAGCUGGUUUGUUUCAGUACCAGAGUCAGCACUUCCAAUCCAGGUGUGGCAGUUUCACAGUGGUUCCAGCUUGAUAGGAAAAUGUAAAGCCUCAGUUGUUUGAAACAUUCUAAUUGUGAGAUAAUGGAACUUAGCUUUGAUCAUAGAUCACUUCAGAGUCUUACUCUUCUUGCUCAUGAUUUAUCUUGUUCUCUGUAGCUGUUUUUGGCUGAUGUGUAAAAGAUGGGAUGGGUUUCAUUACUUUACUGAAUAGCAAGCCUAGCUUUCUUUUGUUUUUUUUUUUUUUGUUUUCUUUUGUUUUUCUUCCAUUUAGUUCAUAAAAAUCUUCCAGUAUUUUUUUCCUUUAAGACUUUAUUUUGGUGUGAAGAAGAGUUGAAGAGAUGGCUUAAUAAUUAAGAGCUCUUGCUGAACUGUUUGUAACUCCAGUUUCAGGGCAUCUCGUGCCUCAUCCUGGUCUCCACAAGCACCAGACACACACAGGUGCUUAUACAGACGUAUAGGCAAACACUUAAAAACAUAAAAAGACUUGAUUUUGGGCCAGUUGGAUAGCUUAACAGACACAGGUGCUUGUCACCAACCUGAUGACAGAGUUGGUUCUGGGACCCACAUGGUGGAAGGAAAGAACUAACUCCUGCAAGUGGUCUCUGACCUCUGCUCAAGGCGCACACAGUUCCAAAUAAAUAAAUGUAGUAAAAAUGUUUAAAUCUUUAUUGGGACUGGAGAGAUGCCUCAGUGCCUAAGAGCACUGGCUGCUUUUACAGAGGUCAUGGGUUCAAUUCCCAGCACCCACAUGGUGGCUCACAACCUUCUAUAACUGUGGUCCCAUGGGAUCCCACUCUCUGGUGUGCAGAUAUACAUACACACAAAGAAUUCAUGCACAUAACAUUUUUAAAAAAUCUUUCAAAUCUUCUAUUUAAUCCCAGCACACAGGUGAAAAAGGCAGGUAGAGAGCUCUGGAGCUUGAAGCCAGUCUAGUUUAUACAGCUGGGGCUGCACAGAGAAACUGUC
rnacentral:lncRNA from 1 species